GUGACAGGGACAAGGACAGGGACAGGGAUGGGGACACUGAUGGGGACACGGAGGGGACAGGGACGGGGGGACAAGGACAGGGAGGUGACACGGACAGGGGUGACAGGGACGGGAAGGGGACAAUGACAGGGACAGUGACACUGCCAGGGAGGGGACAGGGACAGUGACAGUGACAGUGACGGGGGGGUGACAGGGACAGGAAGGGGACAAUGACAGUGACAGUGACAGGGAGGGGACAGUGACAGUGACGGGGGGGUGACAGUGACAGGAAGGGGCCGGCGCCACUUUGGGGACAGAAAGGGGGAACAGGGAGGGGACAGGACAGUGACGGUGACAGGGACAGUGCAGGGUGGGGACAGUGACAGGGACAGGGACAGGAACAGGGACAGUGACAGGGUGGGGACAGUGACAGUGACAGUGACAGUGCAGGGUGGGGACAGUGACAGUGACACGGCCAUGGCGCAGCCGAGCUCCGUCCCGCUGCUGGGUGAGCCUGCUCUUCCUCCUCAUCCUCAUCUUCCUCAUCUUCCUCAUCCUCAUCUUCCUCCUCUUCGUCUUUGCCCAUUUUUCCCAAUUUUUCCCGUUUUUUCCCCCAUUUUUGGGCCCAUUUUCCCUCCUGCUCUUCCUCCUCUUCCUCCUCUUCCUCCUCUUCCUCCUCUUCCUCCUCUUCCUCCUCUUCCUCCCCACCCAAUUUUCCCAAUUUUUCCUCCCAUUUUUGGAUCCUCUUCCUCCUCCUCCUCUUCCUCCCAUUUUUCCCAAUUUUUCCAUUUUCCCCAUUUUUGUGCCGAUUUUCCCUCCUGCUCUUCCUCCUCUUCCUCCUCCUCUUCCUCCCCACCCAUUUUUCCCAAUUUUUCCAUUUUUUCUCCCAUUUUUUGGCUCCUCUUCCUCCUCCUCCUCCUCUUCCUCCCAUUUUUCCCAAUUUUUCCCUUUUUCCCCAUUUUUGUGCCCAUUUUCCCUCCUGCUCUUCCUCCUCUUCCUCCUCUUCCUCCCCUCCCAAUUUUCCCAUUUUUUCCCCCAUUUCUGGACCUCCUCUUCCUCUUCUUCCUCCUCCUCCUCUUCCUCCCAAUUUUUCCCAAUUUUUCCAUUUUUCCCCCAUUUUUGUGCCCAUUUUCCCUCCUGCUCUUCCUCCUCCUCCUCCUCUUCCUCCUCUCUUCCAUUUUCCCCAAUUUUUCCAUUUUUCCCCCAUUUCUGGACCUGCUCUUGCUCCUCUUCCUCCUCCUCCCAUUUUUCCCCAAUUUUUCCAUUUUUUCCCCCAUUUUUUGGCUCCUCUUCCUCCUCCUCCUCUUCCUCCCAUUUUCCCCAAUUUUUCCCUUUUUCCCCCAUUUUUGUGCCCAUUUUCCCUCCUGCUCUUCCUCUUCUUCCUCCUCCUCUUCUUCCUCCCAUUUUUCCCAAUUUUUCCAUUUUUCCCCCAUUUUUUGGCUCCUCUUCCUCCUCUUCCUCUUCCUCCCAUUUUUCCCAAUUUUUCCAUUUUUUCCCCAUUUUUUGGCUCCUCCUCCUCCUCCUCCUCUUCCUCCCAUUUUUCCCAAUUUUUCCAUUUUUCCCCCAUUUUUGUGCCCAUUUUCCCUCCUGCUCUUCCUCCUCUUCCUCCUCUUCCUCCCCACCCAGUUUUCCCAAUUUUUCCAUUUUUUCCCCCAUUUUUUGGCUCCUUUUCCUCUUCCUUCCAUUUUCCCCAAUUUUUCCAUUUUUCCCCCAUUUUUGUGCCCAUUUUCUCUCCUGCUCUUCCUCCUCUUCUUCCUCUUCCUCUACCUCCCAAUUUUCCCAAUUUUUCCAUUUUUCCCCCAUUUUUUGGCUCCUCUUCCUCCUCCUCUUCCUCUUCCUCCCAUUUUUCCCAAUUUUUCCCAUUUUCCCCCAUUUUUGUGCCCAUUUUCCCUCCUGCUCUUCCUCCUCUUCCUCCCUAUCCAAUUUUCCCCAAUUUUUCCCCCCAUUUUUUGGCUCCUCUUCCUCCUCUUCCUCUUCCUCCUCUUCCUCUUCCUCCUCUUCCUCCCAUUUUUCCCAAUUUUUCCAUUCCCCCCAUUUUUGUGCCCAUUUUCCCUCCUGCUCUUCCUCCUCUUCCUCCUCUUCCUCCUCCUCCCAAUUUUUCCCCAAUUUUUCAUUUUUCCCCCAUUUUUUGGCUCCUCUUCCUCCUCUUCCUCCAAAUUUUCCCCAAAUUUCCAUUUUUCCCCAAUUUUUCCAUUUUCCCCCCCAUUUUUUGGCUCCUCUUCCUCCUCCUCAUCCUCUUCCUCCCCACUGAAUUUUCCCCAAAUUUCCAUUUUCCCCCCAUUUUUUGGCUCCUCUUCCUCCUCUUCCUCCUCUCUUUCAUUUUUCCCCAAUUUUUCCAUUUUUCUCCCAUUUUUUGGCUCCUUUUCCUCCUCUUCCUCCUCUUCCUCUUCCUCCCAUUUUUCCCAAAUUUUCCCUUUUUUCCCCAUUUCCUGCCCUUCAUCCCAACUCCUCCUCUUCCUCCUCUUCCUCCCCUCCCAAUUUUCCCCAAAUUUUCCAUUUUUCCCCAUUUUUUGGCUCCUCUUCCUCCUCCUCAUCCUCUUCCUCCUCUCUUUCAUUUUCCCCCAAUUUUUCCCAUUUUUUCCCAAUUUUUCCCCAAUUUUUAAAUCCCAUUUUUCACCGUUUCACUUUUUAUUUUCAAUUUUUUUCAUUCUUCAAUUUGAUUUCAUUUCCAU
ensembl:lncRNA